rnacentral:rRNA from 1 species
CCUACGGGCGGCAGCAGUGAGGAAUAUUGGUCAAUGGGCGCGAGCCUGAACCAGCCAAGUAGCGUGAAGGAUGACUGCCCUACGGGUUGUAAACUUCUUUUAUAUAGGAAUAAAAUGAGGCACGUGUGCCUUUUUGUAUGUACUUUAUGAAUAAGGAUCGGCUAACUCCGUGCCAGCAGCCGCGGUAAUACGGAGGAUCCGAGCGUUAUCCGGAUUUAUUGGGUUUAAAGGGAGCGUAGAUGGGUUGUUAAGUCAGUUGUGAAAGUUUGCGGCUCAACCGUAAAAUUGCAAUUGAUACUGGCAGUCUUGAGUACAGUAGAGGUAGGCGGAAUUCGUGGUGUAGCGGUGAAAUGCUUAGAUAGCACGAAGAACUCCGAUUGCGAAGGCAGCCUACUAAACUGCAACUGACAUUGAUGCUCGAAAGUGUGGGUAUCAAACAGGAUUAGAUACCCCGGUAGUC